rnacentral:rRNA from 1 species
CAUCASSSRGRRMRAGGAUGAGAGRWGSGSKCUAUMRUGCAGUCGACGAACUUCCGUUAAUUGAUCAGGACGUGCUUGCACUGAAUGAGAUUUUAACACRAAGUGAGUGGCGGASGGGUGAGUAACACGUGGGUAACCUGCCCAGAAGCRGGGGAUAACACCUGGAAACAGAUGCUAAUACCGUAUAACAGAGAAAACCGCCUGGUUUUCUUUUAAAAGAUGGCUCUGCUAUCACUUCUGGAUGGACCCGCGGCGCAUUAGCUAGUUGGUGAGGUAACGGCUCACCAAGGCGAUGAUGCGUAGCCGACCUGAGAGGGUAAUCGGCCACAUUGGGACUGAGACACGGCCCAGACUCCUACGGGAGGCAGCAGUAGGGAAUCUUCCACAAUGGACGCAAGUCUGAUGGAGCAACGCCGCGUGAGUGAAGAAGGGUUUCGGCUCGUAAAGCUCUGUUGUUAAAGAAGAACGUGGGUGAGAGUAACUGUUCACCCAGUGACGGUAUUUAACCAGAAAGCCACGGCUAACUACGUGCCAGCAGCCGCGGUAAUACGUAGGUGGCAAGCGUUAUCCGGAUUUAUUGGGCGUAAAGCGAGCGCAGGCGGUCUUUUAAGUCUAAUGUGAAAGCCUUCGGCUCAACCGAAGAAGUGCAUUGGAAACUGGGAGACUUGAGUGCAGAAGAGGACAGUGGAACUCCRUGUGUAGCGGUGAAAUGCGUAGAUAUAUGGAAGAACACCAGUGGCGAAGGCGGCUGUCUGGUCUGUAACUGACGCUGAGGCUCGAAAGCAUGGGUAGCGAACAGGAUUAGAUACCCUGGUAGUCCAUGCCGUAAACGAUGAUUACUAAGUGUUGGAGGGUUUCCGCYCUUCAGUGCUGCAGCUAACGCAUUAAGUAMUCCGCCUGGGGGAGUACGACCGCAAGGUWGAAACUCAAAAAGAAUUGACGGGGGGCCCGCACAAGCGGUGGAGCAUGUGAUUUAAUUCGAAKCUACGCGAGACYCWUUACCAGGGUCUUUGACAUCUUCCUGCCCGAUCUAGAGAUUAGCGAUCYCUUGCGGGCACCAGACUUMACCAG